AAGAGAGAGACAUGCGCGCAUAUCAAUAAGCGGAGGAAAAGAAACUAACUAGGAUUCCCUCAGUAACGGCGAGUGAAGCGGGAAGAGCUCAAAUUUGAAAUCUUCAAGGUUCUACCUUGACGAAUUGUAGUUUAAAGAAGUGUUUUCUGUUGGAGUUUUGGUAAAAGUUCUUUGGAAUAGGACAUCAUAGAGGGUGAGAAUCCCGUAUUUGACCAUUUCUUCCAGCUGUGUGAUACACUUUCAAAGAGUCGGAUUGUUUGGGAAUGCAGUCCAAAAUGGGUGGUAAAUUUCAUCUAAAGCUAAAUAUUGGCGAGAGACCGAUAGCGAACAAGUACCGUGAGGGAAAGAUGAAAAGAACUUUGAAAAGAGAGUUAAACAGUACGUGAAAUUGUCAAAAGGGAAGCGUUUGACACCAGUGUUGUUUUUCCGAAAAUCAAUUACGAAUGUUUUGUUUUUAAGAAGUUAUGACUUCAUCGGCUUGCUUCUUUCUUUACGAAACUUUCUUAAUGCACUUUUCGGUUAACAAGUCAACAUCAAUUUCUUUUGUUGUAAAAGGGUAUGAGGAAGGUGGCUUUCUUUUCGGAGAAAGUGUUUAUAGCCUUUGGCUUCUGCAAUCGGAGAGAUUGAGGUCUGCAGCGUAGAUCCUUCGGGGUUAGAUACAUUUGUGCUAAGUUAUAGCCUUUCAUAGACAACUUGUUGACUAUGAUCAGUCAUGUAGCUUACUCGCUUAUGCUAUUUUACCUACGCUUAGGAUGUUGACAGCAGUAUAGACUGU
rnacentral:rRNA from 1 species